UAAUACGGAGGGUGCAAGCGUUGUCCGGAUUUAUUGGGUUUAAAGGGUGCGUAGGCGGCUGAUUAAGUCAGCGGUGAAAGACUUCGGCUUAACCGGAGCAGUGCCGUUGAUACUGGUUAGCUUGAGUGUUGGAGGGGUACAUGGAAUUGAUGGUGUAGCGGUGAAAUGCAUAGAUACCAUCAGGAACACCGAUAGCGAAGGCAUUGUACUGGCCAACAACUGACGCUGAUGCACGAAAGUGUGGGGAUCGAACAGG
rnacentral:rRNA from 1 species